CAGAUGCGGGUGCUAUACAUGCAGUCGAGCGGACGAAUCAAAAGCUUGCUUUUGAUUCGUUAGCGGCGGACGGGUGAGUAACACGUGGGCAACCUGCCCUGUAGACGGGGAUAACACCGAGAAAUCGGUGCUAAUACCGGAUAACACGAAAUGUCGCAUGACGUUUCGUUGAAAGACGGUGCAAGCUGUCGCUACAGGAUGGGCCCGCGGCGCAUUAGCUAGUUGGUGAGGUAACGGCUCACCAAGGCGACGAUGCGUAGCCGACCUGAGAGGGUGAUCGGCCACACUGGGACUGAGACACGGCCCAGACUCCUACGGGAGGCAGCAGUAGGGAAUCUUCCGCAAUGGACGAAAGUCUGACGGAGCAACGCCGCGUGAGCGAAGAAGGCCUUCGGGUCGUAAAGCUCUGUUGUUAGGGAAGAACAAGUAGCGCAGUCACUGGCGUUACCGUGACGGUACCUAACGAGAAAGCCACGGCUAACUACGUGCCAGCAGCCGCGGUAAUACGUAGGUGGCAAGCGUUGUCCGGAAUUAUUGGGCGUAAAGCGCGCGCAGGCGGU
rnacentral:rRNA from 1 species